rnacentral:tRNA from 1 species
ACCUGGGUGGCUCAGUCGGUUGAGCAUCUGACUUCGGCUCAGGUCAUGAUCUCACAUUUUGUGGGUUCGAGCCCCGCCUCAGGCU